rnacentral:rRNA from 1 species
GAUGAACGCUGGCGGUCUGCUUAACACAUGCAAGUCGAACGGAAUCCUUCGGGAUUUAGUGGCGGACGGGUGAGUAACACGUGAGAAUCUGCACUCAGGAUGGGGACAACAGCGGGAAACUGCUGCUAAUACCCAAUGUGCCGAAAGGUAAAAGAUUUAUCGCCUGAGAAUGAGCUCGCGGCCGAUUAGCUAGUUGGUAAGGUAAUGGCUUACCAAGGCGACGAUCAGUAUCUGGUUUGAGAGGACGAUCAGACACACUGGAACUGAGACACGGUCCAGACUCCUACGGGAGGCAGCAGUGGGGAAUUUUCCGCAAUGGGCGAAAGCCUGACGGAGCAAUACCGCGUGAGGGAAGAAAGCCUACUGGGUUGUAAACCUCUUUUUUCAGGGAGGAAAAAAAUGACGUGUACCUGAAGAAUAAGCAUCGGCUAACUCCGUGCCAGCCGCCGCCGUAA